rnacentral:tRNA from 2 species
GACAGGUAGUUUAUAAAAACAUUUGGUUUCGGCCCAUAAGUUAUCAUUGAUGAUUCUGUUUU